AGUAUCUGUGUAUCUGGCCAUUCGAGUAUCUGUGUGGGACAGGCGUGUUGAAACGGACAGUCAGCAUCAGCGGCGGCCGAGUACUAAAAGAGAUUUAUGCCCAUUUUGUCAGCUGUUCACUCACUGCAGACAUUCCGCCACUCGGUUCUCAAGUUCAGACUCUAUGAAAAUGGAUUUCAACAUGAUUUUUACUGGCCGACAUAAAUUAAGCCACUAUCGCCCCACCAAUUCCACCAUUUCCAUUUCCAUUCCCGGUCACCUACCGAAAAAUAAGUGCCAAAGCUUAAUUAAGCCACAACCCAGCGUUCAUGCGGCUCAUCAUAAAUUGGCCUUAGUGUUGAGCUGAUGCCGAGCGGUCCGAUCAAAAACAAAGAGCAGCCUUGCCGCAGGACCACCAGGGAUCUCCGAUGCGCUUGUAUAAUGGCCAAAACGGGUUUUUUUUUUGGCCCGGACUGCUGCGUUCGCUGCGGAUUAAGCGAUUAAACAAAUUAAAACAAAUUACGUUUUUGCACCCACCACAGCGACGAUGAUCAUAAAAUUAAUAAAAAUUUACCUGUCACGGAAAGCGGCCAACUU
ensembl:ncRNA lncRNA:CR45304 long non-coding RNA:CR45304